rnacentral:tRNA from 1 species
GGCCCCGUGGUGAGUACCACAUCAGAUUGCAAAUCUGAAGACGCCGGCUAAUUGCCCGCCGGGGCUU